GCCUUCUGCUGGGAUCGCUGGCAGGCUGAGGGAGAAACUGGUGGCUGCACCGUGGGGGAGAAAUAGGUGUGUCUGUCUCCCCACCCAGCCAGGUGGAGCUUGGAGUGUUUGUGCUCUUCCCCAUGCCAUUCCUUCCUCCUACCUCCUAGCCCGAAAUUGCAUAGUCAUCUGCAGAAGAAAGACAAGUUCUGGCUUGGUUUAUUUUCAGUUUUUUAAAAGCCCAGAAGGUCUCUUCCCAAAUACUGCCUAAUAAGAAAUCAAGACGAUUAAAGACAAUUGUUACCAUACUUUUAGCAGCGCUGUGCAUUCCCAGUAUACACCGUGACUUGGAAAAGCCAAGACCUUAGGAAAAGUGUUCGUGGAGUCCAGAGUUUUCCUUGGGUGUCAUUCCUCAAGUGCCUGGGCGUGGUACCUGCCGACUAAGGCUUGUGUCUCCUGGUGAGUUGAUUUCAGCACCCAGUCUGACCUUCAAGUGACCUAAACUUCAGCAUGAAGACUUGAUGGCACAGAGCUCCCAGGAACAGAUAAAAAAGUGGAGAAGGGCUGUUGACUUCUCUGGAUUAACAGUGUGAAGCUGAAAAGCUGCUAGCUCUUGCCCGGCUGGGACCAGCCAUGCCUUGCCUCAGAACUUGCUGAGACUGAGAAUCAGGUUCAGCAAUUGCCGAUGGUCUGGCCUAUCAUCCCCAUGUAGCAUAUGGCUUGUCCCGUGCCUGCCUGCUUGACCUUAAAGGACAAACCAGGGAACACUGCACAGUAAGUAGGUAAGCUUCUUAGAGUUCCUCAGAAACACUGAAUCAUGCAUCUCCUAGA